UACGGAGGGUGCGAGCGUUAUUCGGAAUCACUGGGCGUAAAGGGCGCGUAGGCGGCCUGGUAAGUCAGGGGUGAAAUCCCACGGCUCAACCUAGGAAUUGCGCUUGUGACUGGCGGGCUCGAGUACGGUAGAGGGGGGUGGAAUUCCUGGUGUAGCAGUGAAAUGCGUAGAGAUCAGGAGGAACACCGAUGGCGAAGGCAGCCCCCUGGGCCUGUACUGACGCUCAUGCACGAAAGCGUGGGGAGCAAACAGG
rnacentral:rRNA from 1 species